rnacentral:lncRNA from 1 species
CGAUGACACGCAAAGGGAAAGAGGAAAGGCACCUGAUAUUCUCUAGGCCUUUUAGAAAAUAUGGAGUUGUUCCUUUGGCCAUAUACAUGUGAAUCUACAAGAAAGGUGAUGUAGACAUCAGGGAAAUGCAUCUGGUUCAAAAAGGAAUGCCCCACAAACGUUAAUGUGGGAAAACCAGAGGAGUCUACUGUGCUACCCAGCAUGCUGUUGGCACUGUUGUAAACAAACAAGUGCAAGAUUGUUGCCAAGAUAAUUAAUGUGUUGAGCAUAUUAAGCACUCUAGGAGCCAAGAUAGCUCCCCAAAACUCAAGAAGGAAACAAAGGAAAAGAAAAAGAAGGAAGCCAAAGAGAAAGGAGCCUGAGUUCAAUGGAAGCACAGCUGGCUCCACCCAGAGAAGUGCACUGUGAGAACCAAUGGAACAGAGCCUGAGUUUCUAGAACCUGUUCCCUAUGAAUGCAUGGC